rnacentral:rRNA from 1 species
CAGUAGCCGCGGUAAUACGGAGGGAGCUAGCGUUGUUCGGAAUUACUGGGCGUAGAGCGCACGUAGGCGGCUUUGUAAGUUAGAGGUGAAAGCCUGGAGCUCAACUCCAGAAUUGCCUUUAAGACUGCAUCGCUUGAAUCCGGGAGAGGUGAGUGGAAUUCCGAGUGUUGAGGUGAAAUUCGUAGAUAUUCGGAAGAACACCAGUGGCGAAGGCGGCUCACUGGACUGGUAUUGACGCUGAGGUGCGAAAGCGUGGGGAGCAAACAGGAUUAGAUACCCCCGUAGUCCCUGUCUCUUAUAA